rnacentral:lncRNA from 1 species
UAGAUACCCGAUCAGCAGCCCUGACCAACCAGGACAUGUCAGGUGGCAGAGGCGCUAACGCGGGAGGCCACGGGGGGAGCCACGUGGGCGAUCCGUGUGCGCGCGAUCGAACGACUAAGAUCCAUUCUUGCGUGCACGGACGGUCCAGAUUGAAAACAUACACGGACAGCCCAGAUUGAAUCGGGCAUGGAUAAUCUAGAUUGAAUCGCGAGGAACAUCUCAGAUUCACUCCCUAUUUAAUCGCGAUAUGAUGGUUCAGAUCAAAAGGGAUGGACGGUCCAGAUCAAAAGGGAUGGACGGUCCAGAUCAAAAGCGGAUGGGUAUAAAUAAACCCAUCUGCACUCAAACCCUAACCCUAGCUGCCAAAAUCCCUUGCCGAAGAAGAUAGCCCAGCUGCCAGGGAGCCGAC